rnacentral:rRNA from 1 species
AUUGAACGCUGGCGGUAGGCCUAACACAUGCAAGUCGAACGCGAAAGUCCUUCGGGAUGAGUAGAGUGGCGGACGGGUGAGUAACGCGUAGGAAUCUAUCCUGUAGUGGGGGAUAACGUUUCGAAAGGAACGCUAAUACCGCAUACGCCCCAAGGGGGAAAGCGGGGGAUCUUCGGACCUCGUGCUAUAGGAGGAGCCUGCGUCGGAUCAGCUAGUUGGUGAGGUAAAGGCUCACCAAGGCGACGAUCCGUAGCUGGUCUGAGAGGAUGAUCAGCCACACCGGAACUGAGACACGGUCCGGACUCCUACGGGAGGCAGCAGUGGGGAAUAUUGCGCAAUGGGCGAAAGCCUGACGCAGCCAUACCGCGUGUGUGAAGAAGGCCUUCGGGUUGUAAAGCACUUUCAGUGGGGAGGAAAAGCUGGUGGCUAAUAUCCAUUGGCCGUGACGCUACCCACAGAAGAAGCACCGGCUAAUUCCGUGCCAGCCGCCGCUGUAACAC